UAGGGAAUCUUCCGCAAUGGACGCAAGUCUGACGGAGCAACGCCGCGUGAGUGAAGAAGGAUUUCGGUUCGUAAAACUCUGUUGUUAGAGAAGAACAGCGCAUAGAGUAACUGUUAUGCGUGUGACGGUAUCUAACCAGAAAGCCACGGCUAACUACGUGCCAGCAGCCGCGGUAAUACGUAGGUGGCAAGCGUUGUCCGGAUUUAUUGGGCGUAAAGCGAGCGCAGGCGGUCAAUUAAGUCUGAUGUGAAAGCCCCCGGCUCAACCGGGGAGGGUCAUUGGAAACUGGUUGACUUGAGUGCAGAAGAGUAGAGUGGAAUUCCAUGUGUAGCGGUGAAAUGCGUAGAUAUAUGGAGGAACACCAGUGGCGAAGGCGACUCUCUGGUCUGUAACUGACGCUGAGGCUCGAAAGCGUGGGUAGCAACCAGG
rnacentral:rRNA from 1 species